CGUUACUAAUGAGAAAGGUGGAAGAGGACUUUGGCAAAGCCAAGAUAUGUGUGUGUGUGUGUGUGUGUGUGUGUGAGCUCACAUGGGUGUGACUGUGACUGUGUGGGUGACGUUGUCCUGUUUAAUUAAAGAAUGGAGGCGGGGUUUUGCAGGGAGCCCUGUUGGUAAACAAUGCCUGUUUGCAGGCUACUCAGGAACGACCUGGGAAGUGGAAGGAUCUGAAAAUGUUGUGCAUGAAGUGGCCCGUUGGCUGUCCAAUGAAGUGUCUGUUAUCAGAAGGAAAUGUGUACUUUUUGAGGAGUGUGGAGAUGAAUAAGGCCCAGUUCCGACAUCUGGGAUUUUGACUCUCCAGGCAAGAGGACAGGAAAAAGAUGUUUGGCUUCUAUGAACUAAUUCACUGUCCAGAGCAUCUUGGCAUCUGGCUGCUGCUGAGGAAAGAGGAGGAUGUUUGUGUGUGUGUGUGUGCACAUGCGCCCGUGUGUGCGUAUCUGAGGGAAGCUAAAUAUUACAUUUCAGGGCUUAGUCCUUCCAUACUUUGAAUUUAAUAUGUAAUUAUGAAUAAACAUGGAAACGUAAAAACAAAACCACCCAUGCCUCACGAUCCUAUUGACAUUGGGAGAGCACAUUUACUAUGUGUCUUCAUUCUUGUGGUCAGGUACGGAGCAUUACAGCCAUUUUUACAUGUGUGCAUGCUUUCAGUUACAACAGAGGCUGAAAAUGGGCAACCCUAUGAAACUACUGUUUUGUAUAUUUUUUAUUUAAUUUAAUUUUUUUGAGACAGAGUCUCACUCUGUCACCCAGGCUGGAGUGCAGUGGCACGAUGUCAGCAAACUGCAACCUCUGCCUCCCGGGUUCAAGCAAUUCUCCUGUCUCAGCCUCCCGAGUAGCUGGGAUUACAGGCACCUGCCACCACGCCCGGCUAAUUUUUGUAUUUUUAGUAGAGACGGGGUUUCACCUUGUUGGUCAGGCUGGUCACAAACUCCUGACCUCAGGUGAUCCACCUGCCUCAGCCUCCCAAAGUGCUGGGAUUACAGGCGUGAGCCACUGUGCCCGGCCUGCUUCGUUUAUUUUUAAAGAUGGCU
rnacentral:lncRNA from 10 species